UGAGCGAGCUACCAUGCAGUCGAGCGGUACAGGGGAGCUUGCUCCUGCUGACGAGCGGCGGACGGGUGAGUAAUGCCUGGGGAUCUGCCUUAGUGAGGGGGAUAACCACUGGAAACGGUGGCUAAUACCGCAUAAUGUCGCGAGACCAAAGUGGGGGACCUUCGGGCCUCACGCACUAGGAUGAACCCAGGUGAGAUUAGCUAGUUGGUGAGGUAAUGGCUCACCAAGGCGACGAUCUCUAGCUGGUCUGAGAGGAUGAUCAGCCACACUGGGACUGAGACACGGCCCAGACUCCUACGGGAGGCAGCAGUGGGGAAUAUUGGACAAUGGGGGCAACCCUGAUCCAGCCAUGCCGCGUGUGUGAAGAAGGCCUUCGGGUUGUAAAGCACUUUCAUUGGUGAGGAAGGAUAUAAAAAUAAUACUUUUAUGUAUUGACGUUAACCAAAGAAGAAGCACCGGCUAACUCCGUGCCAGCAGCCGCGGUAAUACGGAGGGUGCGAGCGUUAAUCGGAAUUACUGGGCGUAAAGGGCAUGCAGGCGGUUACAUAAGUCAGAUGUGAAAUCCCCGCGCUUAACGUGGGCAUUGCAUUUGAAACUAUGUAGCUAGAGUUCUGUAGAGGGGGGUAGAAUUCCAGGUGUAGCGGUGAAAUGCGUAGAGAUCUGGAGGAAUACCGAUUGCGAAGGCAGCCCCCUGGACAGUGACUGACGCUCAUAUGCGAAAGCGUGGGGAUCAAACAGGAUUAAAUACCCUGGUAGUCCACGCUGUCAACGAUGUCGAUUUGAAAGUUGUGGCUUUUAGCCGUGGCUUUCGGAGCCUACACCUUUAAUCGACCGCCUGGGGAG
rnacentral:rRNA from 1 species